CAGUGAUGCUGCGGGACUGGCCUGGGAUCCUGGACCAAAGACUGUCGCGCUAGUGGGGAAACAUGUCGAGUUUCUCCAGGGCGCCCCAGCAAUGGGCUACUUUUGCUCGAGUUUGGUAUCUCUUAGAUGGGAAAAUGCAGCCUCCUGGGAAACUUGCUGCUAUGGCAUCAAUUAAACUUCAAGGAUUGCAUAAACCUGUGUACCAUCAACUGAGUGACUGUGGGGAUCAUGUUGUCAUAAUGAACACAAGGCACAUUGCAUUUUCUGGAAACAAAUGGGAACAAAAAGUGUACUCCUCACAUACUGGCUACCCAGGUGGAUUUAAACAGGUAACAGCUGCUCAGCUUCACCAGAAGGAUCCAGUGGCAAUUGUAAAACUGGCUAUUUAUGGCAUGCUGCCAAAAAACCUUCACAGAAGAACUAUGAUGCAGAGGUUGCAUCUUUUCCCAGAUGAGGACAUACCAGAAGAUAUUCUUAAGAAUUUAGUGGAAGAGCUUCCUCAACCUCGGAAAGUACCCAGACGUCUCGAUGAGUACACACAAGAAGAAAUAGAGGCUUUCCCAAGAGUGUGGUCUCCACCUGAAGAUUAUCGGCUAUAGAAGAAUGAAAGUUGCAGAAAAUAACAGUGAGGUGUGAGACAACAUGAAAUAAGCCCGGAGCUCCUGAGCCAGCAGCUUUAAGAGGGAGGAAUUUUUGUCUGCUGUACCCUAAGCACCUAGAACCAACGUUUGUUUGUUGAUGAAAGGCUCACUGAAGAAAGCUCUUUUCACCAACAAAACUGCGGGAUUUGAAGAGGUGAGAUCAGAGUAACAUGCUCUAUGAGAAUGUUGAACCCAGUCGUCAUCAUAUUAAAUAUUUGUUAAGACCAAUCACCAUCCGCCUCACUCUGACUCGCUGUGUGAGAGCCCGGUUGGUGGGAGAAGGGCAGUCUGAUCCUGCAGAUUUAAUGGGCUGUGUAGACCUACAGUGGGGCUAUUCUGGGGGACUGAAGUGCUCUUCACAGCUGGGAGCUCACUCUAUUUUGCAUUCAGACAGAACCAGAGCAGAGGGGCUUUUGCACCAGCCAAGCAGCCUUCAGAAGCACCGCCCACCCAUUUGCUGUUGCUUGAGAGUGUAACAGCCUGACCCGUCCAUAUCCUGAAAGAACACAACCACAAGUAGCCAAAUAAAAAUCACAGCUCUCUGUAUGGGACUCAGUAAUCUGAAGGAGGAAGACAAGCUGGACCGCUAGAAUCCCAGCUCCUACUGAAGUAAAAUGAAUAGAAGUAGCAGAACUUUAAAAAAAUAAGAGUUCUUACAGAAAAAGAGUUGUAAUCAUUCCAAUAAUCGUAUGGGAAGACAAAGAUUAAUAAAUAUCUUCUGUUGCUGUGUCUGUAAGGUGCACAUUAGUGCAGAUAAAUAAUAAAUCAAGUCACCAAAACCAAAAUCCUGUUUGUUCAUAUGCAAUUUUUCACCAGGUGACUGUGUUACACUAUUGGGUAUGUCCCAUGUCACCAAACCAAGACUUAACUGUGGCUUCAACUCUCCCAGAAAUGGAAUCUUCAACCAGUCAAAUAGGAAUCGCCAGAUCAGCACUAGUUAGGUAACACCAGGUAAAUGUGAAAAACACCAUCCAGCUGAGCAUAAUGACCGAUGGAAGAAUAUACAAAACACCUUCUCUCUCUUACCCCAUUUUACCCAAUGCAUUGCCUACUGUAUUCCAACUUUGUGGACUUUCUCAGUAAAACAUGAGUAAGUGUCCUGAUUAUAAGUAGGAAAAAGGAAAAGCCUUCAGUAUUGCGAAGUUUCGAAACAAGAGAAAAUGUGACACUGCAAUAGCCAGUCGGCCAAAGUAAUCACAUUGGUCAACAUAGGAGACAACGCUGAAAACAAGAGAAACAGAGCUUAAUAUUAACUUCCCAAUAAUCACCUGCUUUCUAGGGAACUGAAGGCUGAAAAGUGCUUAUUUGCAGUGGGCCUGAAGCUAACUGCAAACCUCAUGAGGCAUGAGAGCACUUCGCGUCGUCUGAUCUCAUUUGGGGCCAUUACAAACAGCCUCUUUAUGAGAGGGGGCAAUUAACAAAACAAGAAAAGUGGGAUUUCUGUUUCAAGCCAGUUCAGAGGAACACAAACAGCACAAUAAGCGGCCAUCUGCCUCUGGUGUCCCAUUUUAUCGAAAACUAUAAUCCUUUCACCUAUUCUCCAGAGUUCAAAACCACAACCCUUCACUAUAAACAUCUCCACCAAGCAAACUUCAUAUCUUGUCAAAAUAACAUUCUAUGUUUACUAUAAUGUCUUUAUUGGGAUGUUUAAAAUUAUGGUAGUUUUCUUGUAUCACUUACAAGACUGUGCAAGUUUUGAGUGUUCUGCCCCAACUCCAUUUUUCUCCUAAGCCCCGUUACUUUCGGAGUACAAAAUUCCAUCCCCUGGGGAUUGCUGGAAGGCAUCUGCCACUUUAUAGGACGGACGGCUGUCCUCACUGUAGUUGCUGGUUUAGCACAUCCUCCUGCCAGAUGACUCUUCUUCCAGGGUCCUAAGAGGUCACACUCCCACAACCCCAGUAGAAGUGGCCACCUGAGAUUUAUUGUACCAAAAAUUCUGGUGCCAUCCCCUUAUCAAGCCUAGGUGGCAGUAGGGAGCAGCUCGCUGUGAGGCCUCCUGAGUGGUCAAUGUGAUACUGUUGCCAAGCAUGUCCUCAUCUCCAGGCAUGGGUUAUCUCCAGCGUUCAAUCAGGACCUAGCAGGCGGGCCAAGAUAAUUCUAAAGCAGGUCUUUACCACGAUUCUUUGCCCAGGCUGCCAUCCUUUCCUUUCUUAUCCUAAUUCCUACUCUAAAUUUAUAAAGUGAAUACUAAGAACUAUGAUUGGUGAGAUUGAUAAAUAAUAUCUCUUGGUUUAGACAAACUGAGUCACACGUUGGCCCAGAGGCUAGGGUUGUGGUAAUGAAUCAAUACUGCCAUCUUUACAAGUGAUUAAAGAGCAGAAUUUUGUUUUACUUUUAAGGUUUAACCUAGAUGAAGGAAUUUUUUUUUAAAAGCAUGUAAGUUGCAGUUAUCAGAUUCUUACUGUAGUUCCUUCCUCUCCUUUAUUGCUAAUUCCCUCCAAGCCAGAUCUAGACACUGUCACUGUGCCCGUGCCCCAUCUUGUUUCUAUGCUGCAGUUGACAAACUUGUUUUCCUACCUUCUCCUGGAAAAGGGGGUUAGUUCCACAUUCAGCCAAGAACAACACUAAAUGUCCGGGUCUCUCCUGGCUGAAAAUUCCUGCAUGGAACAGGUAGCAAGUCCUGAGGCUGCAAAGCCUAGAAGCCCCAGGAGGGACGCUGCUGCCAAGCUCUACAAUGCUGAGUUUGAAUUGGAAAGGACCCUAUUUAAGAAGGUACGAUCUUUCCAAAACAGACGUUAAGGCUCCAUUUCAACUUAAAUAAGGCUCUUGCAGAGAAACGGUACUUCUCUCUCUCUGCCCAAAAAUCUAAAAUAAGAGAGUUGAGUAGUUUUGCAGCAUCACUACUGCUCGGGGCUUUGCCUUAGAAGAAUGUAAAUCUGAGAUUGGCUACCCGUAAAACAGACGGUCACUCCACCUGAGGGCCAAUUUUUAUUAGGCUGGCUGCCAGGAAGGUUGAGGACACAUUUUCCACAUGAAGAUGGCAUAAACAGGACCUCUGAAGGAGACACACAUUUGUAUCAGUGCCACUUGGUCCACGAAAACCUCUUUGAUUUCAAACAAAUCUUUAUUUCAAGGCUUAACUUCGCUCUUACUGCCCUUACUUUUCAAUUCCAAAGUUAAUACCUAUUAAAACCUUGGAAACAGCGGCAGCUAGAAGACCGCUCCCUUUCUAGUGGACACCUGUGCUUUAUAGGUUGAUGAUAUGGAGCUCCAACUUGUCAACCUGCAUUAAAUUGUUUAGAAUCAACACUUUGAAAUUAUGAUACCAUCUGGCAUCUUCUUUAGCAAUCACAAAACCAAGAACUGUUUUAAUAUUUAGAGGAAAUUCUGAGUAUAAAGCAUGUGUCUUUUACUUUUUGGCAAAUUCACAAAGUCCAAAUAAAAUAUUUUUAUAACUCGAUAGAAAA